CAGAAGGUCGGUGGGCGGUGUCACUGUACCCUAUAGCGUGACGGACUGUGGUGGAGGCACCGCCCAUUGAGGUCCCCCUGUCGUCAUGGGAGACCGCAGGAGACGUUAGCCGGAGCGGUAUUACCGUGGCAGGACGGAUUAUUGGAGUACCUCCGGCCGAUUAAAGCGUUACUCCCCGGGGAAGCUUCAGAAUAUAGAAAUUAUAAGCAUUGUCACGAUGGGACAACUGCAGUUAGCGUGCAUAGAGACGAGAACUGCUGCUCACUGGAUUUUUUAUUUAUUUGUCCACACUAUUCUCUAAUAUCCAUAGACUGUCGUGCGUGAAAAUCCCAGGAAAUCAGCAAGUCUGUGCAGAUUGGUGAUAACAAAUCCUCCUCGCUGACAAUCAACACUGGUUGUGGAGCUGAUUGUGGACUUCAGGAAGGGCAAGAUGAAGGAGCACAUACCAAUUCUCAUGGAGGGAUCAGAAGUGGAGUGAGCGAGCAGCUUCACGUUCCUCUGUCAAGAUCUCUGAGGAUCUAACCUGGUCCCAACAUAUCCAUGUAGUCAUAAAAAAGACAAGACAGGCUAUAUUUUAUUAGGAGUUUUAAGAGAUUUGGCAUGUCAACAAACACACUCAAAAACUUCUAUAGUUGUACCAUGAUGAGUACAUCACUGGCUGCAUCACUGUCUGGAGGGGCUACUGCACAGGACCGAAAGAAGCUGCAGAGGGUUGUAAAUCUAGUCAGCUCCAUCUUGGGCACUAGCCUACAAAGUACUCGGGACAACUUUAGGGAGCAGUGUCUCAGAAAGGCAGUGUCCGUUAUUAAGGACUCCAGCACCCAGGGCAUGCCCUUUUCUGUUACCAUCAGGUAGGAGAUACAGAAGCUUGAAGUCACACACAGUCAGUGAUUCAGGAACAGCUUCUUCCCCUCUGCUAUCCAAUUCCUAAAUGGACAUUGAAGCUUUGGACACUACCUCACUUGUUUUACUAUACAGUAUUUUUUUUACAUUUUAAAAAAAUAUAUUCAAUAUACGUAAUUGAUUCACUUUUGUAUUUUACUUUUUUUCUCUCUGCUAGAUUAUGUAUUGCAUUGAACUGCUUCUGCUAAGUUAACAAAUUUCUCAUCACAUGCUGGUAAUAAACCUGAUUCUGUGAUACUCAAACCACCCCAUCUGGCACCAGCAGACAUUCCACGGUCAAAGUCAUAUAGAUCACAUUUCUUCCUCAUUCUGAUGUUUGGUCUGAACAAUAACUGAGCCCCUUGUCCAUGUCUGCUUGCUUUUAUGCAUUGAGUUGCUCCCACGACUGGCUGAUUAAAUACCUCAUUAUUGAGCUACUGUACCUAAAGUGGCAAUUAAAUGUACAGAAUUUUUUCCUUUUUCAGAUGGAUCAGACCCAUUAGGAAUUGGGUGGAGAGAAGAAUUAUCAAACCAAAAUAGUAAAUAGGACUUUCAUUGAAAGUCUAGUGGGUUAUGCAUUUCUUUAUUUCUCUGUCCUAUUCAUCACAAAAAUAUCCUGCUAUCAAAACAAAGCCCCAUUUACUGUCGGUAUAUUACCCAAGUCAGGUAGAGGACACCAGAGACAAGACCAAACUGUUGAAACUAAACUUAUAAAAUUUUACUCAAAAUAUAGUUAACUUUGCCAGUUAUAAACAGAAGUUGUACAGAUCAUAAUCAGCAAUCUCAGGCCAGAACUUUCCUUUUGCUGAAUGCUGUAAGAAAAUGCUGCUUUAAAACAAUUCCAGAUGAUGUUGCAGGAUAAAAUAUAAUUAAAAGGAAAGCAUUAGCAAAAGCAUCUAUUUUAGAUAAAGAUGUUUUACAGGCAAUUAAACAGUAUUUGCACAUCUUUCCCAGCCUUCCUGCAAAUAAACAUCUAUAAUAAAUUCAGUCAAAAAAUGGCAGCUGUUACAACCAAAUCCCACAAACGUUACAUUGUGUACAGUUACAUGUGUACACUGUCAGUAACACUGUGUACACUGAUAUAUAUGUACAGUCAGCUGUUACAACCAAAUCCCACAAAUGUUACAUUGUGUACACUGUCAGUAAAUCAUGACAAAAUACAGUGAUAGACAUCUUGCCUGACAACAACCUCCUAAUCAACACAAAAUAAUUCUAAUUAGAUCGUGUGACAGGCAUCCAGCAGUUGUUCACAUCACUAACAAAAUGGCAUAGGAUUGCACCAUUUUCACAGUGCAACAGCAUGCAAGAAGCAGAUGAACACAUAACCAAAUUGGCAUUUUACUAGCUUAAAGGGGGUGGUUCUUAUUAAAUAUUACUAGAAACUCUGUCUGGAGACACUGCAGCAAUUCUCAUUAAGUGCCCCCAGAAAAUAUUUACAGAUUUUUUUUGUUAGAUGUUAUUUGAUUAACUUUAAGUCUGGAGUUCAAGAUAUACAGGCUUGGUUGAAACAAAGUCACAACUGAGCAGUGAAUCACAUCCAUGCAAAAUAAUAAUUUCCCCAAGAGGAAAUGAUAUCCUUUCAGAACUCAAACUGCACCAUUCAAUUAAAAAAUCAUUUGUGACAUUUCAGAAGAUCUAAAGCAGUCUCUCAAAUUUUUGCAACGUACAAAUAUCUCAUUCAAGUUUGACAGUGCCUACCAGGGAAGCAUUAAUUUGACAAGUCAUAGUAAAACCAUCUUUACCUAUCAACACUCAGAGAAGAGCAUGCUAUAUGAUGCUGUUUUUCCAUGAUAUAUAAAUGCCACAUGGUCAAUUGAAAGCUGCAGAUAUUUAAUUUUGCCUAUUUUUCAACAAACAUUAGGCAUAACUAAAUCAAUAAUCAAUUAAGGAUACCCUGGGCUGGGAAAGUUCUACAGAAACAGCAGCAGGAUUGACUUGGAAACCUGGGCAGGGUGUAAGAGGAGGAUGCAUUUUGCUAAAGGUAUGAGAAAAGGAACUCAAUAGCAAAAAAACAGCAUAUUCUAAAAAUAACUAUUAUACAUGCUUGUAGACAAGGAUUGAUACGACUUUUAAAUUCCUCAGGGUGACAUCAUUGGUCUUUUCACUGGCCUAAUCACUCAGCUUUUGAAAAGCUCUACAGGGAAUUGAUUUGCUUAGAAGGACUGAUUUAAACCAAUAAAGUUUCAAAUUAAAACUGAACAUUUGAUUACACAAAAGCAGUAUUAUAAACCUAAUAAAAGUGCACAAUUAUGCUACUUUGUAUAGUCUAUCAAGGCUUUGUGUUCUAAAAACCAGGGAUCAGUGUCCUCAGUCUAAUUUGUAAAUGUUUACCUCCUUCACAAACACUUACCUCGUUCCCCCACCCCACCUGCAAUUCAGUCCUCAGUUAGAAAUUCAAUGCCAGCAACACCCCAGUUCCAGGUUUACUUGAUUGGCAUGGGGCUUACUGGGAAGUGUUUUUUUUACAUUUAUCUGACAGUCUAUGUACAAGUGGCACGUCAUCCUUCAGAUAAAACAGCAUGAUCCAAAUGAGUACUUGUCAUUUAAGAAUCUUGUAUAUUUAGGCCGGAAUGGAAUUCAAGAGCAAAUUACUAUAGCUUACUAACUGAAACCAUCAAUCACAUUCAGCACAAUGAAGGUACCAUCUACACUCCUGCUGGUACAAUGACAAGUACAUAAUUGUACAAAUCCAGAUUGAACAUUUUAUUUGAGAUAGAUAGAUCUUACUAGGCAUUGUGAUCUACAGACCCCCAAUAGCUAUGUUAUUUAGGACAUUACUGUCCAAAUUCAACUCUGCAGCAUUUUCUAUGAUGUAAAGUAUUGAAGCACAAAGGCUAAUGCAAUCCUUUAUGAGAUUACUCAGUUGUAUUAUCCCAGUGCUUCAAAAAGGUGGCUUUUU